AUCGUCCUGCUGGCAUCUGAGGAAGUGGAAGGACACAAAGAGAAGGAAUUGAGGAGUUGGGAUAGCUUCCAUCAUAACAAGAAGUACAAAGCUGAAAACUGAAAGUCAGCAGCUCUUCUGGAAUCUUGAGAUAACAUGUCAAGCCACUGCCCUCCAAAGCAAAGGUGGACAAGUAGAUACAGAGGUUCCCAGCUCCUGUGAACAGAAACCCCAAUGUCAGCCCUAGCCAGGAUCCAAAUGUGUAACUGAUGAAGGGCGAGAGGCUCGAUGGAUAAAGAACACAGAUGAGAUGCCUGGUAGUGUGACAACCACAGAAUGGCUAAGCAACAACGAAUUACUGAAAUUAAAGAAUCAGAGCUAGAAUUUAACACAUGGGAAUUGUGCUUGCAAGUGAAUGCAGGAAGGUUAAUGGUGAACACGAGAAAGCAGCCCAGAAGGUCACUGUUUUGUCCUUCAUAGUGCUCAUUAGUGCCCGAGAAAUCUGUGUCAGAGACCUGUGGACCUGAGAGGACAGCAUCAGUUCAAAAUCUGGGAACUGUCCCAAGCAUGUAUUGGGAUGCAAAUUAAUUUGAGCCUUGUUUCCCCUGCUCUUGCCACUGGGAGCGCAUUGGGUGGGAAGGUUAAUUCAGUGCAGCCUUAUCUCCCGUGGGCACUGCCGGGGAGCCUUGGAAUCAUUUUGUUUCUCAUCUCUGAAAAUGGAAUGUGCUUUGCCUCACUGAUGAGUAGGGGAGGAAAGAGGUCAACCUGGAGAGAUUAGGAUGCCUACCAAGGCUCCCUGUGCUGCAAGGGGUUAUUAAGGAUCCCAGAAGUGAGAGGCUGCAGUUAGUUUUAGUUCUGAGGAGCUGUGUCUGUAAGGCUUUCUGUGCAGCUGUAGGACAUUGCCGAAGUCCCCCUUUCCUGACUGCUGCUUCCAAAGAGAACAUCCACACAUGAGCAUGUAUCUGACACUGAAGACAACCAAGAUCCAGUUCAGCCAAAGGGAAAUAAAAUGCAUACACUUUUCAAGC
rnacentral:lncRNA from 1 species